rnacentral:snoRNA from 1 species
AACCCAUGGUGAGGGAACCUUCUCAAUAAAUCCUUAUACCUCUCCCAUGCGUCAUAUAAUAUCUCUAAAUUGAUCUACACAAUGGAAGAGAUGCCGUUCCUCAACUU